UUAAAAUUAAAUUAGAUACGCCAGCGUUUCACGUGGGAAGUCACGUGAUUGAGUAUCCACGUGUCAAUCCCACAAGUGAAAUAAUAGACGGGUUCCCAUUGUCCUACCUUCGCACCACCCCCGCGCGUGUCUCUUUGCCUCUCUCUCACCGGACACCAAUCAUUUGAUGCGACACGAGCUUCUUCUACGUUAUCCAUGUGAAUUGCACGUGAUCUCGCUUUGUUUGAGAAAUUAGAUUUCAUUGCACUAAAAUUGGUAGAGAGACAAUUAGAACUUGAGUGAUGGAUAAUUCGUC